rnacentral:sRNA from 1 species
AUGUUGAGUUACGGGCAUUUAGGGACGUCAUGCGUCGAUCUUGGACGUAUGUCGGGAUCGGGGCGUGACACUUGACCCCGUUGGGCCACCGUAGACGACGAAUCAACGCUGGGAAGCUUUAGGCACCCGCCGACUUUGUGGGAAAAAUUGAUCAUCUUCUGUCCACUUUUGGACUUCAUGGCAGGCAACGUUUGUUCGUGACGUUUUGAUAUUUGUGCUAGGGAGUUAUAACGCGGACUCCAGGUGAGUAGGCAGUUUAUUUUAUACCUAUACAUAUUGAUAAUUUCUCUAAAUGCGUAUUUACUUUACUUUUACGCUUAUAUUGCCAAGUAUCGUUAUUGUGAUAUUAAUUGUGAUAAAUGCUGUUAUAUGGUUGGGAUAUUACUAUCAUGACAUUCAUACAUAUUUGUACAUGCUCAUCUUGCUGCACCAGUGUUAGUACUCACCCCAGGGCCAGGACCAGUCAUUCACGUGUAUGUUCACAUCGCACCGUUUGCUCGCCUUAGAUCCAAGUUAGGUGCUAGUCUUGUCGGGUAGAUUGCAUUAGGCAAUCCGACUUGUAUAUGAUGUGCUUCUACACCAGUCUUCACGUGAUCGUAGUAUUAGAGUGUAUUGAUUACUCCCAGUCUUGUACGUGUCGGAAAUUAUCUGUUCGAACUCGUGUGUCAGCUUAGAUGGAUGAGCAUUUAGCUAUACUUGAUUAUCACAUGAUUAUAUUACUGCGGCAUUUGAUAUAUCAUGACUUGGCAUAUUUCUGGUUAUAAUGUUGUUGUAUUAUUGUUUACAUACUUACAUAGUAUGUUUUAAGGAAACUAUACUUGUUUUACAAGGAGGGGUUAGUAUAUUCGGAAAUAAAGGUUUUUACAAAACGUUGUUUUACUGACCCACUCAACUUUGUUUUUCGCCCCUCCUGGUUUAGUAGCUUAGCUUGCGUGUAAACGAGGACUCUGGCAAGAUCUUAGUAGAUGGGUACCUUAGUGGUAUAACCCUCACCCUAAUUACUGUACUGUUCUUAUGCUCUACCAUCACGUGUGAAAUGGGUGCAAUCUCGCUCACCGGCGCACUCUUUUGUUUUAGGCACUUUUAGGUUUAAAUUUAUUCACUUUUUCACAUCACUUACCCUUAUAGUUACGUUACCUCACAGUGAUGGCCAGCAUGCUUCAACCUUCUCAAGUUAGGGUGUGUCACAUAAAAACAGUCAGCCAAGGUGAUUAAUUUGAAUUAAACUUGAUUUUUUAUUUCUUAUCA